AUGGACUCGCGGCUUAUCAGCUUGUUGGUGGGGUAGUGGCUUACCAAGGCUUUGACGGGUAGCCGGCCUGAGAGGGUGACCGGCCACAUUGGGACUGAGAUACGGCCCAGACUCCUACGGGAGGCAGCAGUGGGGAAUGUUGCACAAUGGGCGGAAGCCUGAUGCAGCAACGCCGCGUGCGGGAUGACGGCCUUCGGGUUGUAAACCGCUUUCGCCUGUGACGAAGCGUGAGUGACGGUAAUGGGUAAAGAAGCACCGGCUAACUACGUG
rnacentral:rRNA from 1 species